rnacentral:RNase_P_RNA from 1 species
AUGGCCGGAGGGUCUGUCGCUCGCACUGCCUGUAAAGUGCGGGAGGAAAGUCCGGGCAACGCAGAGCACCAUAUUCUCUAACGGAGAGCUAUCGGUAACGGUAGAGUAGUGUGACAGAAAACAACCGCCGCCCCGUGCGGUAAGGGUGAAAAGGUGAGGUAAGAGCUCACCGGGCGGCGCAGCAAUGCGCCGUGCCGCAUGCCUUAUGGGUUGCAAGGUCAAGUAUACCGGCAUUUAAGGGCUGCUCGUCCAUUGUCGGGGGGUAGACUGCUAACGGCCGUAAGGCCAGAUAAAUGACAGACGACCAGACGCAUCUCCGCUUGCCGGAAAGUACGUCGGCCACAUAACCCGGCUUAUACUCCGACCAUGACU